rnacentral:rRNA from 1 species
AUACGUAGGGGGCAAGCGUUGUCCGGAAUUAUUGGGCGUAAAGCGCGCGCAGGCGGUCUCUUAAGUCUGAUGUGAAAGCCCACGGCUCAACCGUGGAGGGUCAUUGGAAACUGGGGGACUUGAGUGUAGGAGAGGAAAGUGGAAUUCCACGUGUAGCGGUGAAAUGCGUAGAGAUGUGGAGGAACACCAGUGGCGAAGGCGACUUUCUGGCCUAUAACUGACGCUGAGGCGCGAAAGCGUGGGGAGCAAACAGGAUUAGAUACCCUGGUAGUCCACGCCGUAAACGAUGAGUGCUAGGUGUUAGGGGUUUCGAUACCCUUAGUGCCGGCGUUAACACAUUAAGCACUCCGCCUGGGGAGUACGGCCGCAAGGCUGAA